rnacentral:lncRNA from 1 species
ACCCGCCAGCCCCGCGCUCUACCAGGCAGAGCGCGUGUGGCCGCCGAGCACAUGGACCCACUGGUCAAGCGGGCUCGGCAAGGCCAGGAUGAAGAGAAGCUACGAACUUAGCAUUCCCAGAGCCCCCCGAGUGGAUAUCCGCGUGGAAAGGAUGUUGGCAGCCCCGGUGACCUCGGAGUCACGGCUGGAUCCACCCUCUUAGAGCCGAGUUCUGUCACCACAGACAUUGGCAGUGGCACUUGCAUGCCCCUGGCAAGCAGUCUAUCCUGAGGUGGAGGAAGUUGCCCUUGAGUUCUGGCUGGUAACCAGCACAGUAUACCCUUUAAGCGUUCCAGAAGGAUUUUGAGAUCCUUUCCUAAAUCAAAGGUGGAAUAUUUGGGGAUUUGGAAAAUUGAGAUGUGAAGCGUUGACUUAAGAGAUGCCAAGUAACUCAGCAGAUGUCACACAGACGAUAAAUAGCAAAGAUGGAAGUCUUCAUGCCGGAGGCAAUCCUAUAAGACAGCUGAGUUCUGCAGAGCUGGAGACAGACUUGCUCAGGUGAUAGAUCCAGCCAUGAUACUGACCCUAAGAGAAUGAGACGCUCUGCAGAAGACAGAAGAUUCCUGAAACUGGGAAAGGUGCCUAGAAAUCCUGAUAAGAGUGAAGAAGGGUACCUGGAGGCACAGCAGCCAUGUUGAACCUAUGAGGUGAUGAAAAACCAUGCAACUAGAAACCAGAAUGGAAGAAAAGAAGAAGCUGGAUCCUUGACUGAAUUGUCGAUGGGGGAUAGUCCAUCAUCCCAGGGCUAAGACCACCUCCAGAUUUCUUGUUUGGUGAAACAAGUCCUGAUUGUUUACAUUCCCUCGUGUUGAGCUGUCUCUUGCUUGUAGCUGAAAGCAUUUCUAAUAGAUAUUCAGAUUAUCAGCCUUAGCUCCAAGCUAGAAUACUCUAUGGGACCUUAGCUUCUCCAUGAAUUCCUUUGCUCAUCUGUGUAAUGCUCAAUAAAUGUAAAUUGAACCCUGAAUGAGGGACAAUGACACUAUUGAAGUCAUGAUUGUCAAUCUUAUUAACGGACUAACUACUUAACAAAAAGGUUGGAACACUGCCUGACGCACAGUAAGCGGCUGGGGAAAGGGUUUGCCAAAUGGAGUGACAAGAAAACAGUCAUGUUUAUAGGCUUUCUUUUACAUCUUGAUCCAUCUUCAAGCCUCUGUGGUCUUUAAGCAGAACCUUGACCCCUUCAGUACUGGGGCUCCUGGAGCAUGACACGCCCCCUAAACUCUUGUCUCAAAACACCCACUCUAGCAGUUUCUUUUUGACAAAAAAAAAGCCUUCUUAGUGAAUGCUGGCUUGUGAAAAAGAAGGGGCUGUGAUCAUCAAAUCGUGUUAGUAGAUGACCAAAAUACCCAAAGCAAUUCAUGCAAAUAGAUUCAAGUCUCUCUGGGCAAGCCUUCCUGAAGGCUCUAGAAUUUCUGAAGCUCAUUUUUGAAAGGGUCUUUCCAUAUGGUGGCCUUUUUCUUUUUUGCACCUCCUCCCUUCUUUCUCAUCAGAGCUAAAGGGAUGCUCAGACUCUCUGUCCUUUCUGUGUAGUGAGGGACCAGGCUGCUGGGCGAGUGUGAAGGAGCGAGUGUGAUUUGGGAUAUUCUUUUCUGGUAUGGCAAUGGCCAGCCUUUAGAGAGGUCAUUUGAAGUUGGCCAACAAGUAGACAUUAUUUCAAAAUAGUUCUUGAUCAUUAAAGAACCAACCAGUAUGUCUUAAAAACAAACAAACCAAUCUUUUGGAAAGUUUCUGCUGAAUGUGUGCCCUUCCGACUCACUUCUUAUCCUUUCUGUCAGAAACACCCCAGAAAAGGGGGUCUUGCCUUUGAACCACUCUGCUACUUUAAUCUUCCUGCUUCUGUCUGACCUACCUUCCUUCUUUCAGUAGCCAGGAUCCUUUCAGAGUGAGCUCCAAAAGGUGGGGAUUCUCCAGCCACGAGUGCCCUCUGAAAUUCUAUCUUACUUAGAAUAAAAUAUCUAGAUUUAUACAGUGUCCCCUUGUAUGGGUGGUGGCUUUUUUUUUUUUUCUAUCAUUUUCCUGCUUGUUCACACCACUCUCUCCCUGGCCUUCUUAUGUCACAGAUUUCCUGAGUACACUCUGGCCUCAGUCUUUCCAUGAAGUAACUCUCCUUUCUAGAACAUUCUUGCCUGCAUAACUAUCUGCUUCUGUCCUCACUGUAUUCUGAUCUGUAUUUCUAUGUCAAUUUCCAGACAGGCAUUCUCUGCCCAUCCUCUAAAGUGUGCCCCCUGUCUUCUUUGCUGUUACCUGUAUGCCCUAAGUCUAAGUCACUGACCUUAUUGUAGACUAAAUUUGUUAGCAUUUCUUUCCAGGAUGCAAGCCUAGUGAUGAAGGAGUCAUUGUUCCAUUGUCAGAAUAGCUACAGAAUCCAGCCUGUUCUGCCCUGGAUGCUUUAUUAAGUAAUGAAGCUCAAUAAAACAAUUUGACCAAG